rnacentral:rRNA from 1 species
UGGGGAAUAUUGCACAAUGGGCGCAAGCCUGAUGCAGCCAUGCCGCGUGUAUGAAGAAGGCCUUCGGGUUGUAAAGUACUUUCAGCGGGGAGGAAGGGAGUAAAGUUAAUACCUUUGCUCAUUGACGUUACCCGCAGAAGAAGCACCGGCUAACUCCGUGCCAGCAGCCGCGGUAAUACGGAGGGUGCAAGCGUUAAUCGGAAUUCCUGGGCGUAAAGCGCACGCAGGCGGUUUGUUAAGUCAGAUGUGAAAUCCCCGGGCUCAACCUGGGAACUGCAUCUGAUACUGGCAAGCUUGAGUCUCGUAGAGGGGGGUAGAAUUCCAGGUGUAGCGGUGAAAUGCGUAGAGAUCUGGAGGAAUACCGGUGGCGAAGGCGGCCCCCUGGACGAAGACUGACGCUCAGGUGCGAAAGCGUGGGGAGCAAACAGG